UUUAAAAUUCAAGCCAUUCUUUUAAAAAUAAAUGCAAGUCAAAGUAGGACAGUUUAAUGUCCCCGAAAGUCAUGAAAACCUGACUAAAUGAAGCCUGUCAUUUUUGCCAAUUCAAAAUUAAAUAUUUCGUUUUCAUUGGUCCAUAUCAGCUAUAUGAUACUUCUCCAACAUAAUGAUUGUAUAUUGUCAAAUCAUGUGACAAAAGCCCACCAAAAAGACAAUAGAGUACUAGUAUAAAUACUCUUUCUGCCUGAUAGGGAAUGAUCUUUGCUAGUAGAAGUUUUUCGUCUACUACUACAUACAAUACCAACAGUGUGGACAUCAAGAUGAGGUUUUGGCUUGUUGUAGCAUUCCUCUUGUUGUUUGUUGUUCAAGGUUAGUUGUACUGUCAUUGUAAAUUCUUUGUCAUGCAUAAUUCAAUUUGCUAUCAAAUGUUUGAAAUUUGUAUUUCAUUCUGAGCCAGUAUUCAGCUAUGCCAACACCUUAAAGAAAGUUCACAAUGAAACGUACUUUCAUACAACAGAGUCUCUUGAAGUUGACUGUCUAACUAAUGCAGAUUGUGUGGCAGGAAAUUUCUGCUUUGGCUGCCCCAGCCAACAUGUGGAGCCCACCUGUGUGAUGGUAACCCCAGGGAAGUGUCAGUGUAAAUACUGCACAUGAUAAAUAACAAUUUGGCCAGUUUCACUUUCAAGCAUAAAGCCUAGUCAUCAUUUCUUUGAACAUCUGUUAAACAGUACGAGCUUACUUAAUAUUGGCAUUAAGUUCACU